UACGAAGGGGGCUAGCGUUGCUCGGAAUCACUGGGCGUAGAGCGCACGUAGGCGGAUUUUUAAGUCAGGGGUGAAAUCCUGGAGCUCAACUCCAGAACUGCCUUUGAUACUGGGAAUCUCGAGUCCGGGAGAGGUGAGUGGAACUGCGAGUGUAGAGGUGAAAUUCGUAGAUAUUCGCAAGAACACCAGUGGCGAAGGCGGCUCACUGGCCCGGUACUGACGCUGAGGUGCGAAAGCGUGGGGAGCAAACAGG
rnacentral:rRNA from 1 species